rnacentral:tRNA from 1 species
AUUCGGGAGGUGACGCAGUGGUAGCGUGUUCGCUUUGGGAGCCACAAGUCAUAGGUUCAAAUCCUAUUCUCUUGAUU